ensembl:lncRNA
GGAGGGGUGAGCGGGAAAACGCGGCGCGGAGCCGGGAACUGCGCCCCCGCCCCCUCCCGCAGGGGAAGCGGCGCCGAGGGGCGGUUGCUGCCUCCCCCUUCGCAGGCGGACGGGAGCGAGGGCAGCCGCAAAAGGCGAAGUUUGGGGAAAACUUUUCCCCCGCCUCGAGGUAGAGGGCCUGGGGUCGCGGCUCGGCCCCGCCUGAUGGGACGGGGCCCGUGGCGGCAGAUAAGUCCUGAUGCAUGCUGGAAGAAGUGUGUGCUUCAGCACUGAUUAAAGUAAUGUAGGAGUUAAUGAGAAGCUUGCAGAGUAUGUGAAGCAAGAGAAAAUCUUUAACCAGCUCUGCUGUUCCCUCUACAUAGCACAAACUUAAGGAGAGAAGACUUGCAUAGCUGGGGUUCACCUGGACGAAUUGAACUUGGAGCAGAAUAAGAUGCAAAAUGAGAACAGUUGUGAUUUAGACUCUAGAAACUUUGUGUUGUUCUGCUAUAGAAUUGUACUUCGCAAAAGACAACCAGCGAGAGCCACCUGUAACCAAACACACCUUGAUGGUGGAGGGAGCUUCACAAGGUGACUUCAGUGGGCUCAGCUGUGGGGCUGUGUAUUUAGAUCGCCAUCUCAUAUUUCCUCAAUGCUGUCUUUUGCAUGCUAUACUACUGUUUUCUCUGUUUUGCUCUUUCUGAUACUCAGAAUGCAAUUAUUUGUUUGGGUAUUUUUGCUUUUUUUUUUCCCCCCACAAGCAGAUGACAGUUUGCUGUCUCCUCAGUGUCCUCCCAUGGUUCCCUGUAUGAAGUAUGUUACAUUCUGACAGUGGUGCUGUAUUCUCUGCAGCUACAUGGAAGAGCCACUUCAGAAAUCAGCAGCUCUCUAGCUUCCUAGGUUUUAGCUGAGUUUAACCUUUGGUGGUUAGUAAACGGACAUGUUAAGAAAAUGUGUGGCCCAGUCACUCCUCUUUCAAAUUCCAGUCUUGUCAAGCAAACUCUGCACCCUUGUCAGUCUAUAUGUUGGCGUCCCUCUCAUCUUAUUGCAGUUUUUGGCUUUUCUGUGGGAGAUGGGAACUUAUAAAGACAUCUUUAGGGAUGAUGGAUGUUAUAUGUGGGUACAGAUAGCAGUAUUUUUGGUGCAAAUAAGGAAAGAAAAUGCUCUCCAACUUCUGAAUGUAUAUGGUAGGUUCUUUGUUAACACUGGGUCAUUUGUUUCUUCUUCCCUCUGCCUCACAAGUUUGAUAGGAUUGAAAUUAGUUCUGCCAACUUCAUAAAUUAAUGAUGUAUUUCAUGG